GGGGAAUAUUGCGCAAUGGGGGAAACCCUGACGCAGCAAUACCGCGUGAGUGAAGAAGGUUUUCGGAUCGUAAAGCUCUGUUAUUGGGGAAGAAAAAAAGACGGUACCCAAGAAGAAAGUCCCGGCUAACUACGUGCCAGCAGCCGCGGUAAUACGUAGGGGACAAGCGUUGUCCGGAUUUACUGGGCGUAAAGGGCACGCAGGCGGUUUUUUAAGUCAGAUGUGAAAGGUACCGGCUCAACCUGGGAACUGCAUCCAUAACUGCCUGACUAGAGUAUGGUAGAGGGUGGUGGAAUUUCCUGUGUAGCGGUGAAAUGCGUAGAUAUAGGAAGGAACACCAGUGGCGAAGGCGACCACCUGGACUGAUACUGACACUGAGGUGCGAAAGCGUGGGGAGCAAACA
rnacentral:rRNA from 1 species